GAUGAACGCUGGCGGCGUGCCUAAUACAUGCCAGUCGAGCGAACAGACGAGGAGCUUGCUCCUCUGACGUUAGCGGCGGACGGGUGAGUAACACGUGGAUAACCUACCUAUAAGACUGGGAUAACUUCGGGAAACCGGAGCUAAUACCGGAUAAUAUAUUGAACCUCAUGGUUCAAUAGUGAAAGACGGUUUUGCUUUCCCUUAUAGAUGUAUCCGCUCCUCAUUAUCUAUUUGUUAAGUUAACGGCUUACCAAGGCAACGAUGCGUAGCCGACGUGUGAGGGUGACCGGCCAAACUGGAAGUGAAAAACGGUCAAGACUCCUACGGGGGGAAGAAGUAGGGAAUCUUCCGCAAUGGGGGAAAGCCUGACGGAGCAACGCGGCGUGAGUGAUGAAGGUCUUCGGAUCGUAAAACUCUGUUAUUAGGGAAGAAGAAAUGUGUAAGUAAAUAUGCACGUAGUGACGGUACCUAAUCAGAAAGCCACGGCUAACUACGUG
rnacentral:rRNA from 1 species